ACGAUAAAGCGGGUGAAAAGCCCGCUCGCCGGAAGACCAAGGGUUCCUGUCCAACGUUAAUCGGGGCAGGGUGAGUCGACCCCUAAGGCGAGGCCGAAAGGCGUAGUCGAUGGGAAACAGGUUAAUAUUCCUGUACUUGGUGUUACUGCGAAGGGGGGACGGAGAAGGCUAUGUUGGCCGGGCGACGGUUGUCCCGGUUUAAGCGUGUAGGCUGGUUUUCCAGGCAAAUCCGGAAAAUCAAGGCUGAGGCGUGAUGACGAGGCACUACGGUGCUGAAGCGACAAAUGCCCUGCUUCCAGGAAAAGCCUCUAAGCAUCAGGUAACAUCAAAUCGUACCCCAAACCGACACAGGUGGUCAGGUAGAGAAUACCAAGGCGCUUGAGAGAACUCGGGUGAAGGAACUAGGCAAAAUGGUGCCGUAACUUCGGGAGAAGGCACGCUGAUAUGUAGGUGAAGCGACUUGCUCGUGGAGCUGAAAUCAGUCGAAGAUACCAGCUGGCUGCAACUGUUUAUUAAAAACACAGCACUGUGCAAACACGAAAGUGGACGUAUACGGUGUGACGCCUGCCCGGUGCCGGAAGGUUAAUUGAUGGGGUUAGCGGUAACGCGAAGCUCUUGAUCGAAGCCCCGGUAAACGGCGGCCGUAACUAUAACGGUCCUAAGGUAGCGAAAUUCCUUGUCGGGUAAGUUCCGACCUGCACGAAUGGCGUAAUGAUGGCCAGGCUGUCUCCACCCGAGACUCAGUGAAAUUGAACUCGCUGUGAAGAUGCAGUGUACCCGCGGCAAGACGGAAAGACCCCGUGAACCUUUACUAUAGCUUGACACUGAACAUUGAGCCUUGAUGUGUAGGAUAGGUGGGAGGCUUUGAAGUGUGGACGCCAGUCUGCAUGGAGCCGACCUUGAAAUACCACCCUUUAAUGUUUGAUGUUCUAACGUGGGCCCCUUACCGGGGUUGCGGACAGUGUCUGGUGGGUAGUUUGACUGGGGCGGUCUCCUCCUAAAGAGUAACGGAGGAGCACGAAGGUUGGCUAAUCCUGGUCGGACAUCAGGAGGUUAGUGCAAUGGCAUAAGCCAGCUUGACUGCGAGCGUGACGGCGCGAGCAGGUGCGAAAGCAGGUCAUAGUGAUCCGGUGGUUCUGAAUGGAAGGGCCAUCGCUCAACGGAUAAAAGGUACUCCGGGGAUAACAGGCUGAUACCGCCCAAGAGUUCAUAUCGACGGCGGUGUUUGGCACCUCGAUGUCGGCUCAUCACAUCCUGGGGCUGAAGUAGGUCCCAAGGGUAUGGCUGUUCGCCAUUUAAAGUGGUACGCGAGCUGGGUUUAGAACGUCGUGAGACAGUUCGGUCCCUAUCUGCCGUGGGCGCUGGAGAACUGAGGGGGGCUGCUCCUAGUACGAGAGGACCGGAGUGGACGCAUCACUGGUGUUCGGGUUGUCAUGCCAAUGGCACUGCCCGGUAGCUAAAUGCGGAAGAGAUAAGUGCUGAAAGCAUCUAAGCACGAAACUUGCCCCGAGAUGAGUUCUCCCUGACUCCUUGAGAGUCCUGAAGGAACGUUGAAGACGACGACGUUGAUAGGCCGGGUGUGUAAGCGCAGCGAUGCGUUGAGCUAACCGGUACUAAUGAACCGUGAGGCUUAACCUU
rnacentral:rRNA from 1 species